GACGAACGCUGGCGGCGUGCUUAACACAUGCAAGUCGAACGGAAAGGCCCUGCUUUUGUGGGGUGCUCGAGUGGCGAACGGGUGAGUAACACGUGAGUAACCUGCCCUUGACUUUGGGAUAACUUCAGGAAACUGGGGCUAAUACCGGAUAGGAGCUCCUGCUGCAUGGUGGGGGUUGGAAAGUUUCGGCGGUUGGGGAUGGACUCGCGGCUUAUCAGCUUGUUGGUGGGGUAGUGGCUUACCAAGGCUUUGACGGGUAGCCGGCCUGAGAGGGUGACCGGCCACAUUGGGACUGAGAUACGGCCCAGACUCCUACGGGAGGCAGCAGUGGGGAAUAUUGCACAAUGGGCGGAAGCCUGAUGCAGCAACGCCGCGUGCGGGGUGACGGCCUUCGGGUUGUAAACCGCUUUCGCCUGUGACGAAGCGUGAGUGACGGUAAUGGGUAAAGAAGCACCGGCUAACUACGUGCCAGCAGCCGCGGUGAUACGUAGGGUGCGAGCGUUGUCCGGAUUUAUUGGGCGUAAAGGGCUCGUAGGUGGUUGAUCGCGUCGGAAGUGUAAUCUUGGGGCUUAACCCUGAGCGUGCUUUCGAUACGGGUUGACUUGAGGAAGGUAGGGGAGAAUGGGAUUCCUGGUGGAGCGGUGGAAUGCGCAGAUAUCAGGAGGAACACCAGUGGCGAAGGCGGUUCUCUGGGCCUUUCCUGACGCUGAGGAGCGAAAGCGUGGGGAGCGAACAGGCUUAGAUACCCUGGUAGUCCACGCUGUAAACGGUGGGUACUAGGUGUGGGGUCCAUUCCACGGGUUCCGUGCCGUAGCUAACGCUUUAAGUACCCCGCCUGGGGAGUACGGCCGCAAGGCUAAAACUCAAAGGAAUUGACGGGGCCCCGCACAAGCGGCGGAGCAUGCGGAUUAAUUCGAUGCAACGCGUAGAACCUUACCUGGGUUUGACAUGGAUCGGGAGCGCUCAGAGAUGGGUGUGCCUCUUUUGGGGUCGGUUCACAGGUGGUGCAUGGCUGUCGUCAGCUCGUGUCGUGAGAUGUUGGGUUAAGUCCCGCAACGAGCGCAACCCUUGUUCACUGUUGCCAGCACGUUAUGGUGGGGACUCAGUGGAAACCGCCGGGGUCAACUCGGAGGAAGGUGGGGAUGACGUCAAGUCAUCAUGCCCCUUAUGUCCAGGGCUUCACGCAUGCUACAAUGGCUGGUACAGAGAGUGGCGAGCCUGUGAGGGUGAGCGAAUCUCGGAAAGCCGGUCUCAGUUCGGAUUGGGGUCUGCAACUCGACCUCAUGAAGUCGGAGUCGCUAGUAAUCGCAGAUCAGCAACGCUGCGGUGAAUACGUUCCCGGG
rnacentral:rRNA from 1 species